rnacentral:rRNA from 1 species
UACGUAGGGGGGCAAGCGUUUGUCCGGAUUUAUUGGGCGUAAAGAGCGUGUAGGCGGCUAGAUAGGUCCGUUGUGAAAACUGGAGGCUCAACCUCCAGCUGUCGAUGGAAACCAUCUGGCUAGAGUCCGGAAGAGGAGAGUGGAAUUCCUGGUGUAGCGGUGAAAUGCGCAGAUAUCAGGAAGAACACCCGUGGCGAAGGCGGCUCUCUGGGACGUGACUGACGCUGAGACGCGAAAGCGUGGGGAGCGAACAGG